UGCAUGUCGAGCGGUAGAGAGAAGCUUGCUUCUCUUGAGAGCGGCGGACGGGUGAGUAAUGCCUAGGAAUCUGCCUGGUAGUGGGGGAUAACGUUCGGAAACGGACGCUAAUACCGCAUACGUCCUACGGGAGAAAGCAGGGGACCUUCGGGCCUUGCGGUAUCAGAUGAGCCUAGGUCGGAUUAGCUAGUUGGUGAGGUAAUGGCUCACCAAGGCGACGAUCCGUAACUGGUCUGAGAGGAUGAUCAGUCACACUGGAACUGAGACACGGUCCAGACUCCUACGGGAGGCAGCAGUGGGGAAUAUUGGACAAUGGGCGAAAGUGAUCCAGCCAUGCCGCGUGUGUGAAGAAGGUCUUCGGAUUGUAAAGCACUUUAAGUUGGGAGGAAGGGUUGUAGAUUAAUACUCUGCAAUUUUGACGUUACCGACAGAAUAAGCACCGGCUAACUACG
rnacentral:rRNA from 1 species